UGUGUAGCUCACUGGUAGAGUGCAACUGCUCUGCAUGCAGAAGGUCCAGAGUUUGAUCCUCUGCAUCUCAA